UUUACUUUGUCAUGUAUCUCCUUGUGUAUCAAGUAGCUUCUUCCUUGUUUACUUGCUUCACUUCCUGUCCGUGUCCCACUUCCCUCCCCUGUGAUUACCUGCACUGCACUGAUUAGUUUCACCUGUGUUGAUGUUGUCUCCCUGCUCCAGGUGUUUAGUGGUUCCUUCAGUCUCUCAGUGAUCCAGAGCUUCUCUCCUUUUGUUUUUUUUUAAUUGGGUCUUGUUUUUUGGACAUUUGCUUUUUGGAUUCUACUGCCGUGACCUUCCUGCAAGCCCUCUGGUACGCUCCAAAUAUAGACCACAGUGACUCUGGAUGGCGUGAUGGAUGUCCGUCUAUAGACAUCUGGGAGUCUGAAAGAAAAACCGCCACAUUGUCUCUAUAACAUCAGUUCCACUUUGCCGGGAAUUUGCAGGAUGCUGCUCUGAAGUCAUUCCAAGGCUGUCUCUCGCAUCCAGAUCAUCCAUCCAUCUUUAUAAGCUCCUUAUCCUCUUCAGGGUCAUAGGAGGCUGUUACUAUUUGCAGGCACA